GACGAACGCUGGCGGCGUGCUUAACACAUGCAAGUCGAACGGAAAGGCCCUGCUUUUGUGGGGUGCUCGAGUGGCGAACGGGUGAGUAACACGUGAGUAACCUGCCCUUGACUUUGGGAUAACUUCAGGAAACUGGGGCUAAUACCGGAUAGGAUCUCCUGCUGCAUGGUGGGGGUUGGAAAGUUUCGGCGGUUGGGGAUGGACUCGCGGCUUAUCAGCUUGUUGGUGGGGUAGUGGCUGACCAAGGCUUUGAAGGGUAGCCGGCCUGAGAGGGUGAACGGGCACAUGGGGCCUGAGAGACGGACCAGAGUCCUACGGGAGGCAGCAGUGGGGAAUAUGGCACAAUGGGCGGAAGCCUGAUGCAGCGACGCCGCGUGCGGGAUGACGGCCUUCGGGUUGUAAACCGCUUUCGCCUGUGACGAAGCGUGAGUGACGGUAAUGGGUAAAGAAGCACCGGCUAACUACGUG
rnacentral:rRNA from 1 species